AACGAACGCUGGCGGCAGGCUUAACACAUGCAAGUCGAGCGCCCCGCAAGGGGAGCGGCAGAUGGGUGAGUAACGCGUGGGAAUCUACCCAUCUCUACGGAAUAACGCAUGGAAACGUGUGCUAAUACCGUAUACGUCCUUCGGGAGAAAGAUUUAUCGGAGAUGGAUGAGCCCGCGUUGGAUUAGCUAGUUGGUGGGGUAAAGGCUUACCAAGGCGACGAUCCAUAGCGGGUCUGAGAGGAUGAUCAGCCACACUGGGACUGAGACUCGGCCCAGACUCCUACGGGAGGCAGCAGUGGGUAAUAUUGGACAAAGGGCGCAAUCCUGUUCCAGCCAUGCCGCGUGUGUGAUGAAGGCCCUAGGGUUGUAAAUCUCUUUCACCGGUGAAGAUAAUGACGGUAACCGGAGAAGAAGCCCCGGCUAACUUCGUGCCAGCAGCCGCGGUAACAC
rnacentral:rRNA from 1 species